rnacentral:rRNA from 1 species
AGCAGCNGUGGGGAAUAUUGGACAAUGGGCGCAAGCCUGAUCCAGCCAUGCCGCGUGUGUGAAGAAGGCCUUUUGGUUGUAAAGCACUUUAAGCCAGGAGGAGGGUACUCUAGCUAAUAUCUAGAUGUACUGGACGUUACUCGCAGAAUAAGCACCGGCUAACUCUGUGCCAGCAGCCGCGGUAAUACAGAGGGUGCGAGCGUUAAUCGGAAUUACUGGGCGUAAAGCGCGCGUAGGCGGUUUGUUAAGUCGGAUGUGAAAUCCCCGGGCUCAACCUGGGAACUGCAUUCGAUACUGGCAAGCUAGAGUAUGGGAGAGGGAUGGUAGAAUUCCAGGUGUAGCGGUGAAAUGCGUAGAGAUCUGGAGGAAUACCGAUGGCGAAGGCAGCCAUCUGGCCUAAUACUGACGCUGAGGUGCGAAAGCAUGGGGAGCAAACAGGAUUAGAUACCCUGGUAGUCCAUGCCGUAAACGAUGUCAACUAGCCGUUGGGGACCUUGAGUCUUUAGUGGCGCAGCUAACGCGAUAAGUUGACCGCCUGGGGAGUACGGCCGCAAGGUUAAAACUCAAAUGAAUUGACGGGGGC